rnacentral:rRNA from 1 species
GGAAUAUUGCGCAAUGGGGGAAACCCUGACGCAGCGACGCCGCGUGGGUGAUGAAGGCCUUCGGGUCGUAAAGCCCUGUCGUAGGGGAAGAACCGGAAGUCGGCUAAUACCCGGCUUCCCUGACGGUACCCUACACGAAAGCACCGGCUAACUCCGUGCCAGCAGCCGCGGUAAUACGGAGGGGGCACGCGUUGUUCGGAAUUACUGGGCGUAAAGCGCGUGCAGGCGGCCGAUUAAGUCCGGUGUGAAAGCCCGGGGCUCACCCCCGGAAGUGCGCUGGAAACUGGUCGGCUAGAGUACGGGAGAGGGAAGCGGAAUUCCUGGUGUAGCGGUGAAAUGCGUAGAUAUCAGGAGGAACACCGGCGGCGAAGGCGGCUUCCUGGACCGAUACUGACGCUGAGACGCGAAAGCGUGGGGAGCAAAC